AUCAACGCGGUGGCGGACUACGCGCGCGGCCUCCCCAAGCCCCGCGUGGCCCCCGUCUGGGCGCGCGACAUCAUCCCGGCGCCGUCGAAGAUUGUGUCGCGGCCGCCGCGCUUCGAGCUCUUCGACCUCCGCUACUUCACCGUGGACCUCGGCCCGGACCACAUCGCCAAGGUCAAGUCCAGCUUCUUCGAGGCGACGGGGCAGCGCUGCUCCGCCUUCGACGUGUGCGUCGCCAAGACGUGGCAGUCCCGCGUCCGCGCGCUCCGGCUCGACGCCGACGACCCGUCCCGCCCAGUCCACGUCUGCUUCUUCGCCAACACCCGCCACCUCCUGCCGCCGGCGCCGGGGUUCUACGGCAACUGCUUCUACACGGUGAAGGCGACGCGUCCCUGCGGCGAGAUCGCCGCCGCCGGCGUGGUGGAGGUGGUG
rnacentral:lncRNA from 1 species